UGAGGAAUAUUGGUCAAUGGACGCAAGCCUGAUCCAGCCAUGCCGCGUGAGUGGUGAAGGCCCUAGGGUUGCAAGCUCUUUCACCGGUGAAGAUAAUGACGGUACCGGAGAAGAAGCCCCGGCUACUUCGUGC
rnacentral:rRNA from 1 species